AACUACUACUACCACAACAAAAGCUACUACCAUCAGAAAUUAAAACUACUACUGUCAGCAGCAAAAGCUACCAUAAUUCGUAAUAAAAGCUACUACUAAGCACAAUAAAAGAUACUACCAAGUAUUACCAAAUAUACUCAAUGUGUCGGAAAAUAUACUAUCACAGUAUCGAAAAUGUACUAUCUCAGUGUCAUAAAUAUACUAUCACAGUUUUGAAAUUAUACUGUCAUACAUAAGCACUACCGCUGUGAUGCAUCUACUCCCUUACACAUCACUCUACUCCCUUACAGAUCCAUCAUCCAAGCCAUACAAAGAAUGAAAAACCUUCAAUUCCACAUUGGACGUUGUUGUUGACAGUGCCUAGCUCCGUUUCCAUAUACUUAUUGUUGUGGCUAUUGACAUUUCAACUCCUGCUUGGCAUUAAUUUGAAGAUUACAACCAGGGAAUCCAAGAAGACCGGUACAAGUCGUCGAGGAAGCCGCAUGGCCAUGGAUCUAGGUGGAUCGGGUCAAGGUCGAGAGCUCGUCGGAGAUGAAUCAAAAAGAGAGAGACCGGAGCUUCUUCGUCGUCAUCAGGCGAGUAUCAUACAACAAAAACCCCCAAAAUCAAUCAAAAACAGUCGGAUCGGAGCAAAUCAGAUACGAAUUCAAAGACUAAGGAGUAGAAGUACCUCAUAUAUGGUGUUGAUGUGGCUGACGUCGACGGCAAAGGUAGGGUUCCGACUAUAUCGUAGAAGGAGAGUUGGAAGACGAUGACCAUCGCUGCCUAAUCGUGGUUGAAAUCCAGAAGCGGGGGAGAUGCAAUCAAGGCCGAAGCAGAGGUCGUCGAGGAGUCGAGCUGGAAGUCGCGUCGAGGUAGCGGCGAUGGCUUCGUCAUGGCGGCGACGUCGGACUGGGGAGAGAGAGAGAGAGAGAGAGAGAGAGAGAGAGAGAGAGAGAGAGAGAGAGAGAGAGAGAGAGAGAGAGAGAGAGAGAGAGAGAGAGAGAGAGAGAGAGAGAGAGAGAGAGAGAGAGAGAGAGAGAGAGAGAGAG
rnacentral:lncRNA from 1 species